GUUAGCACCAGCUUCCAAGAGGGGCGGAGUCAUUUUGGGAAGAGGAAAACCGUAUGAGUCAAGAGCCAAUAAUUCUGUAUUUGAGAUCUCAAAGAUUUCUCUAGGCCCUUGCAAAGCUUGUAGGCCCCAGCUACUGUUACCAUGGAGCCUGAUAGAUGAAACAGCCCUAGUGGACGAGAAGGACGGUUGUUCCUCUGCUGGGCAGAUGAGGAAUCUGAAGCUGGACAGGGGAAAGGACGUGGAGAAAGUCGCACAGCAGAGCAGGAGCUCAAAGAGUUUUGUCAGACACCAAGGACCCAGUCUUUCCUAGAAAGUUUGCAAAGCCCUGCCUCCUUGGUAGAUUUCCUUUCUGCUCUCCUGCAAGUGCCCUGCUGAGCCUCUGGGUAGACCUGACUGGGUUGCCCCUUCGUUGCCAAGGACGGAUCAUCUUGCUGGGCUUUCCCAGGGGCAUUAAUGAAACAGCUCCUGUGGUUGCAGCCACACAAAGCACAGUCAAGAUGGAAGUGAUUGCUGUCAUCGCUCAUGGUGGAAGUAGCGGUCCUGGAAACAUUACAGGAUGCUCUCAGAGAAUGCUGCUGUCACAAAGGAAUGAAACGAAUGGACAACCACCUCUCGUUAAGAGAACUUCUUCAUUCAGGCUCCCUGUUGAAGCGAACUCUGCACAUUGGACCACUGGCAUGUCUCUCCCAUUUCUAAAUGAUGGGUGGUGGAAAAUUCAGUUCUGCCCCUCCACAACACUGCAGCACGGCCUUCAGAACGCAAACUAAGUGCGAGGAAGCAUCCAUGAACCAAAAGCUCAAAGAUCCCUGCCUUUAAGAGCUGCCAUUCCAGUGGGGAGAAACAGAAGAGAGCUGCAGGAUGGCUUAUGGUGAGAUUAAAGGCCUGCAAUUCAGCAGAUCACUGAAACCCUUAAAGAGGAUUCUAACUUUGCAUUUCAUGAAAAAUAAGAUAUAUUUAAUAUAUUUAUAUUUCUAAGUAUAAGAUUUCUUGCUUGGCAAUG
rnacentral:lncRNA from 1 species